rnacentral:rRNA from 1 species
GGAAUAUUGGACAAUGGGCGAAAGCCUGAUCCAGCCAUGCCGCGUGUGUGAAGAAGGUCUUCGGAUUGUAAAGCACUUUAAGUUGGGAGGAAGGGUAGUAACUUAAUACGUUGCUACUUUGACGUUACCGACAGAAUAAGCACCGGCUAACUUCGUGCCAGCAGCCGCGGUAAUACGAAGGGUGCAAGCGUUAAUCGGAAUUACUGGGCGUAAAGCGCGCGUAGGUGGUUCAGUAAGUUGAAUGUGAAAUCCCCGGGCUCAACCUGGGAACUGCAUCCAAAACUGCUGAGCUAGAGUACGGUAGAGGGUAGUGGAAUUUCCUGUGUAGCGGUGAAAUGCGUAGAUAUAGGAAGGAACACCAGUGGCGAAGGCGACUACCUGGACUGGUACUGACACUGAGGUGCGAAAGCGUGGGGAGCAAACAGGAUUAGAUACCCCGG